UACGAAGGGUGCAAGCGUUACUCGGAAUUACUGGGCGUAAAGCGUGCGUAGGUGGUGAGUUAAGUCUGUCGUGAAAGCCCCGGGCUCAACCUGGGAAUGGCGAUGGAUACUGGCUCGCUAGAGUGCGGUAGAGGAGAGUGGAAUUCCCGGUGUAGCAGUGAAAUGCGUAGAGAUCGGGAGGAACAUCAGUUGCGAAGGCGGCUCUCUGGACCAGCACUGACACUGAGGCACGAAAGCUGGGGGAGCAAACGGG
rnacentral:rRNA from 1 species